UGUGUGUGUGUGUUUGUAUCGCUAGUUUGGGGCUAUCAUUAUUAGUAAGAUUUAUUCUGUUGCAUGGUAAUGAUUACGUAUUGAGAUAAAGGGUUUAUAAACUAUAGGAAUAUUAAUA
rnacentral:lncRNA from 1 species